GAUGAACGCUGGCGGCGUGCCUAAUACAUGCAAGUCGAGCGAACAGACGAGGAGCUUGCUCCUCUGACGUUAGCGGCGGACGGGUGAGUAACACGUGGAUAACCUACCUAUAAGACUGGGCUAACUUCGGGAAACCGGAGCUAAUACCGGAUAAUAUAUUGAAUGGCAUGGUUCAAUAGUGAAAGACGGUUUUGCUGUCACUUAUAGAUUGAUCCGCGCCGCCUUAGCUAGUUGGUAAGGUAACGGCUUACCAAGGCAACGAUGCGAAGCCGCCCCAAGAGGGUGAUCGGCAACACUGGAACUGAGACACGCGCCAGACUCCUACGUGAGGCAGCAGUAGGGAAUCUUCCGCAAUGGGCGAAAGCUUGUCGGAGCAACGCCGCGUGAGUGAGGAAGGUCUUCGGAGCGUAAAACUCUGUUAUUAGGGAAGAACAAAUGUGUAAGUAACGAUGCACGUCUUGACGGUACCUAAUCAGAAAGCCACGGCUAACUACGUG
rnacentral:rRNA from 1 species